AUGUGCGCGAAGUAUGGUGGCUUCGGCCGAGAGGACGACCUAUUUGGGACGAUUGUGCGGCUUCGUGCUGCAUCUCAAUUGGACCUGAUAUCAGGCAAGAUUACCCGCUGAACUUAA
rnacentral:rRNA from 1 species